rnacentral:lncRNA from 1 species
UGUUUUUUCCCUUUACUUUCUUUUGCUGCAGUUAUUUUUCUGUUUUGUUUCUUUUAGAAACCAGGGUUUUUUAAUCCUUUUAAAGCUUAGCUUAUAUGUGUGUAUGUAGUGUAUGUAUGCACUUGUAUGUAUAUGUGCACAUGGUGUGGUGUGGAUGUGUGUGGAUGUGUGUGUGCACAUGGUGUGGUGUGUAUGUGUGUGGAUGUGUGUGUGUGUGUGGGCAGUGGUGCACAUAUGCACUUGUGCAUGAGAGCUAACCCCUCAUUCUUGCCACUAUGAGGUGGUGUGGUGUGUCUGUGUGUAGGUG